GCGUGGGGGAAAGUGGAAACUUCCGAGCAUCUCCUCUCGUCUUGGAUGUCGUUCAGCAUUAUUUCCACGUCUUCAUUUUAACGGGGCGGCAAGCAUGUGGUUCAACAUAUUGUCUUUGGAUCCAACCGUCCUAUCACAUAUCUGAUGAAUACUGAUGGCGAGAUAGAGAGUAUAAUUAUCGUGUAGGGUUUACUCGCGUCAUAGUAUAUCACAACCGUCAAUCUCUUGGCAGCCUUGCGACCAGACUAUCUUGGAGUGCUGAUAGCCAUGUCUCGAACAGCCCGUGUCUUUGCGGUCGGCACCCGACCCAAUUCGACAUGAUUCGAAGCCCAUUACGGCCCAUUUUUGUAUAUGGAAAGACGAAUGCCCAACUCGUGAGAACUGAAUCCACCCACUUAAGCAAGCUCGCUGACGUGUACGGCGUCCUCACAGAUCUGUCGAUCCUCUCACUAUAGCGAGCGCGCGCGCAGCCGUGUGAAUCGAUCAGCCGAUGGGGAUCUGCAGAAGGUGGAGGAGCCCUCUUUUCUUCUCCCUUCUCCCUCUCGUCCUCUUCCUUCCUCUGAUCCUCUCAGUCUCAAAAUUGCAUAGUAGUAAUCCGAUCCCACAAGUUUCGAAGAGAAGUCGCCACCAAUAAAUCAGAUCACCUCGUUCUCGGGCCUGCCGCUGGGCAGGGACUGCCCGACCGCCUCCAAUGCCAAGGCCUCAGUGCUGUCAAUAAGAUCCAUGCUUCAAGUUCACAACAGAACCUUCAAACUAGGGAUGACAUUUCGUUUGCAACAGAUUAUACAAUCUACAACAACUCCAUUAGAUCGGAUUCUUCUAGGAUACGUGAUGGUAACUGUUGCAAACAGUACGUAUAGCAAAGCUGAAAGGUCCAUUGGCAUUCUGAAUGUGCUCGUCGAUUUCAUUCAGAACUCUGCGGGUGUCAAUACCAAGAAGCAGCAUAAUUGUAUUGACUGAUCCUGCUUCUGACUUUACCAUAAACAGAAGUAACACAACAGUAUUACCAAUACUGGGAGAUUAUUCACAAGGAAAUUUGUUGCUUCAGAGAAUCAGCUCCUACAUUUGCAAAAAUCUUCUUAGAAGAAGUCCUCAACGUCUACAGCUUGAAAUUUAUGAAGGCCUCCCGCAUCCUUGGAGAUCAGUUGGCCCUUCCAUGGGUUGUUGAGUCUCAUCUUCCAUUUUCUCUGAGGAAGUGCACCAUGCAUGAAGCCUUUUCUGGUGAAAUAAAUGGCGUUUAUAAUUGGACCCCACCAGAAGGCGCUGGGCAGUUUCAUGGCAUGCCCUUGGAUGUACAGGUUAGUCACUUCAAAGGCUCAAGGAAGCGAUUGAUGUUGCCGUCUUGAUAUGCUGUGUCUCAUUUUGAGGAGCGGAAGAACAAAAUAUGAUAUUUGAAAUCUGGUUUCCUACGCACACUAAUGCUAUUAUGUAAUUGGAUUUUGUAAAAUUAAAUUUCUUUCUUUCUUUCUCAAUCCCUGCAUUUUGAGAGGACAAUUGUUGGUCAAAACUGGGGAGAUCUUGAUUUCAUGUACUAAUAUUGAAAUAUGUUCUUUUGUCAUGAUGCCCAUCUGAAAAAUGACGACAAAGUAUUCAUUA